AAGAGUGGGAAAGUAGAGUAUCAAUUCAGCAGGAAGAAGCUGCUAGAAAUUGUACAACAAAAUACUAAAGCUUUUGUUGCUCAUGGAGAUCUUCAACAAAACCAAUUGUCACCACCUAGGUCUCCAUUAGUUCACUCAACUGCAAAUGGAAAUGCAACUGGAAGUGAUAAAUGAACACAUGAAGGUAUUAUUAUGCUUAUAUCUGUCUUGUAGACCUUUGCUUUUGAGUUAUGCACUCAAUUUUUGUAUGCUUUUCAACUUUGGUUAGGAACUUACAAUUAUUCAGUGAUGCUUUUUGUGGUAUCGUUAAGCUGCCAUAAUGAUAUUGCACAACAAAAUAGUAAAGCUUUUGCUGCUCAUGAAGAUCUUCAACAAAACCAAGUGUCACCACAUAUGCCUCCAUUAGUUCACUCAACUGCAAAUGGAAAUGCAAAUGGAAGUGAUAAAUGAACACAUGAAGGUAUUAUUAUGCUUAUAUCUAUCUUGUUGACCUUUGGUUUUGAGUUAUCCACUCAAUUUCUGUAUGGUUUUCAACUUUGGUUAGGAACUUACAAUUAUUCAGUGAUGCUUUUUGUGCUAUCGUUAAGCUUUAGUUAUGUAGCCAUGUAUCUUCUAAUAUUUGCUUACCUUUGGACCUAAACCUAACUCCUAACUAUUUAUAUGGAACUGCAAAUGUGCUACACACUGACUAUAACUGCAGGCAGAGGUAACACGGACUUCAUUUAUACAAAAAUGAAUCGGGUUAAUUGUCCUGAUGUUUGGACAUUACAUCCCAUGCCUUAUGCUGGUACUUCUGCUUCACUCAAUACCAAUGUUUCCAACAUACAAAAGAAAAGCCGCCAUUCAGAGCUACCAGGUACAGAUAAUUUAUCACGCUUAUUCUUACAUUUCCUUUGUUACCUCUCACAUUCAACCCACAUCUGAAGUUAGCACUAAUGAUUUACUCAAUUUCUAAAUGUUUUUACAUCCAUUGUUCAACAUAUAUUGCAAAUGAAGAAAAUCUAAAUUAUAUUUUUUUUGUUAUACCAAUAGAGCAGUAGUAAUCUGUCUGUCGUUGUCAACUUACUAUUUCGGC
rnacentral:lncRNA from 1 species